GACCUACAGGAGCAGUUUUUCUGCAGCACCACAUCUGUAGCCCUGCAUGCCGCUGGCUCCAGUGUUGUGUGUGUGGUCAUGCUCCAUCCAGCCCAGCAGCAACUUUGGUGUUUGACACCCCUCGGGAGGCACCGCUUUGGAAGAGACUGGUAACAGCAGGGUGGGACCGGCUACUUAGCUGUUCUCAGUCUGAAAGGAUUCUGGAAAGGGGCUCUAUUUAACCCAAGCACUGGAGUCCAACACAGCCUCUGCCGUGUGACAGGUGUGUGCGGAGCCCAAGAUGUGUUGGGAACAGCUAUCGUUUCUACUGCUUUGUCCCAUGCCUCUGGAGCUCCUGGGUUCCUGAACUUCAAGCUGGGCCCCAUCCUUCACCCUAUCAGGGCCCUGGGUGGAGCUGACUUCCAACAGUAUACAGUGGGUCUUGGUACUUCCUCCUUGGCAUUCGACAGUUGGUGUUUUUGAAGUCAGAGCCAUCCUCAGUAGGCUCCUAGGGGAUCGUAAGCGGCUUUCUCUGGGUGGAAACCUACUCCAUGCAGCCUUCAGCAAAGGUACCAGCAUCUGUCACUGGGAUGGGGAAGUCCGGUGAUCGUGUCAGCAUGGGCUACGGUGGACGGGGAAAGGCUCGUUCUGACACUAGACACCUGGGUCUCUAGCCCUAUGCCUGGAUUUGUCUGGGGAACUCUGCACCACACUGAUCCUGGCUUUCCCCAUUACCUGCUCCAUGCCAGGAUCCUACGGCUGUUGAUCCCCUCGGAAGUGAGACAUAAUGUCCCGGAGCAGAUGCUGAUGGGGACUCACUGUUGGGCCACCUGAUUUCUGUGUUCAUCUUCCCAGGCUCCACCUUUCAGAUCCCAUCCCUGGU
rnacentral:lncRNA from 1 species